rnacentral:lncRNA from 1 species
GUCAAUAGGAUCAAGCGCGAGAUAUAUCAAGAUCUCCCAGCACUUGAGGAACUGUUUCUUGUUGAUCUUCAGAGUUUCACGGACUUUCUCAAUGGCAUUCAGAGGCGGAGUGAAUCGAGGUGUCUGAGCUUUCUUUGAUAGCUUACCCUUUGUGAGAGUCUGAACAGCUGAAUCAAUGGCUGGUUUGAUAGGGUCGAAUGCGCGCAAGCGGUUUAUGUCUAUGCAAGUGCGAAUGUGUUGGAACUUCUCUGAUGGCUCUUCUACUGUCAGAUCGUAUACGUUUUCUGCUGUGGCCACUUUGUUUACAACCUCCACCAGAUAGCUUCCAAAACCUUUGCCUUGGAAGGAAGGCAGGACCAAGAUCUGAAAUCAAAAUUAAGAAACAGUAUAAACAGUCAAAUCGAAAAGAAUACAAGAAGAACUGAGGCAUAUAUAUUGUACCUGGCUGAGUCGCAUCCUUAACCUGUCAGGGUAACGGUAGAAUUUAUAAACUGCAGUAAAGCCCAAAAUUUGAUACAAAGGCUCUUCUUUAUGCUCCUUCUUUUGAAUUAAGAGAUAUAAAUGCCAGUCAGGAUCAGUGACAUCAAUCGGGUUGCUGCCUGAUAUAAUGGACCAACGUCUGGUUAAUACCAACAAGAGAACAUAAAAAUUAGGAGCAAGGGUGUGUGUGUUUGCAUACCAUCGACAAAAAGAAGAACAAGGGGCACCAAUCGGCUAUAGAGGAGUCCAGCAUUUGGAGAGCCAAUUUCCAUCCGUAGAACCUGAGGAAAAUAGACCAUUAUGGUUUUUUUUCUUAAACCAAUCUGCAGCUCCACUGCUGAUAAAAGCAUCUCUGACUAAUUUGCUUCAUUAAGAUUAUAAGAUACCUGGAGAUCUAUAGGUUCCACUUGAGCAUUGAUUCUGCUUCCAUCUAUCACUCCAGAAUGCACUACCUCUCCGUUUGAGACCAUAUUCCUAAAACAAUCAAUGAAAACGUUAAACAAUUAUACAUACACAAAGAUUAUAAUGAGGAGCACAUCUUAGAAAACACAGGAACAAGUUUGAGGUAAGUAUGAAAGCAUCCAGUAGGUGUGUCUACCUGAUAAAAUCUUUCUCUGUUGAAAAGGUAUUCAGAAAUUCAUCCUUGUUAUCAACAAUAGUCUCAGCAAAUAUGUUCUGGGUGGAAUUGAAAUAGUUAAUCAUAAGAAUAGAAAAAUGCUGGGUCAUUAGAUACUAUGAUAAGACACUGAAGUUGACUAUAUUAUUACCUGUAAAGCAGAUUUGAGGUCCGUGAUGCCUUUGUCUCCCUUGGAAGAAUAAACAAAAAGACAACAGAAAAUGAUGCUCCAAGACGCCAUACAUAAACAAAUCCAAUGGAUUAAAAGUGAGUUAGACACUUACAUUGGUUGUGCUCUUGUAUGUAAUAUCAGCAUAUGAAUGCAAUGAAAUGCUAUUAAUCCAUACGUUUAUCUGAAACAAAUAAAGUUGACAGCAACGCUAAACAAGACAAUGACAAGACCAGAAACUUUAAAAAAAAAAAAGAGCAAUGUAAAUGUAAAAGAGCAAAAGUACCUUCAAACCAUGGUAGCCAUAUAUUUUUCCAUCUCCAUCAAAAAAGUCGUUUAAAUCAACUGGAUUAACACAAGGAACUUCAGGAAAACCCACUUCCUCUUUGCUAGAAACUAGAAAUCAACCCACCACAAAAAAAAAAAAAAAAAAAAGAGAAGGUCAGAUUAUGUAACAACAACAACUCAAGAAACCCAAUACAGAAGACAUUCGUCACCCUCCUAUGAGACUCAUUCGAAAGAAAAUACAAAAAUCAACACACCCUAAGCAUGAUAGCAACUAUGUGUACUGAGAAAUUGACACAGAGCAAUGACAAUAUCGCAAUCACACACAUACUCGAAACAAUUUCAUCUCAUACAAACAAAAUAUUUCAGCCAUUUCAGAUACAAAAUUGCCAUUAAAAUUGCCGAUAAAGCCAAAAAACUACACACCUGGAAGGCGAAAGCAUAAAUAAUAAAAAAGAAAUUAAACAUCAAAAUCAGAUACGUACCGAGAUAAAUUUUGAUGCACUCGUUAGCCUCCACACCAGUAUCUGUUACCGAAAAAAAGAGAGACCAAAUUAGAAGAAAAAUACGAAAAGCGGAGCUACAAUUGGAAUAGGAGAAGAAAUUACUUACCGGCGGGAGAGAGUCCGACCCGGCGGCGUUUCUUGGGCUCGGGGCCUGGACCGGCGGCGGAUAGCUGCUUCUGAACCAUGGAGAGUCGAGGCGGGAAGAGAGUGAGACAAAGGCGGGAAAGUUGUGGAGGGCUUAUGGAUAUUUAGAGAGAGUGAUGCGAUACUCUCAGUAAAGGUAAAGCUUUAGGGAUCUUUUUUCUGUAUUCUCUUCUUGAGAAGAACAGACACCACAUGAUCCGCACGUGACUUCUUCUAUCAUAACUAUUGCGAGGCCCGUUAACAGCCCAGCUACAGAUUUUUUACAUGGAAUAUAAAUAAGCAUUCAGCUGAUUUAGCAACGAGGGCGUUUGGUCUAGUGGUAUGAUUCUCGCUUUGGGUGCGAGAGGUCCCGAGUUCGAUUCUCGGAACGCCCCCAUAUACUUUUUUAUCUUUUCUAUUCAGUUCUGUUGCCAAAAAUAACCGAGAUUUUCAAAAAGUCCGUAAUUUGUAAAAAGAUGUAAUAACUGUCCCCUACAAAAUGUGCCAAAAUGUUACAAAAUGUGCCUAAUUUAAGUCCAUCUUUACGAAAGGUCAACUUGUUCAAAUUAUAAUUGGGAAAAUUGCCCAAAUAGAACAAAAAAAUCAGGUUAUUGUCCCUUUGGUAUAAAACUAAUUUUGUCCAUUUUUUCUCUUUUUUACCCUUUGUAUUUCUGAAAACUAAUGAAAUAAAUAAUUUUGAGAAUCAAAAAAAUUAUUAAAAAUAUAAACAAUUAAUAAAACAUCCAUAUACACAAGCUGGUAAUUUUCUUUUGUUCAAAAACUUGGUAAAUAAGAUUUUUAAGAUACGUUCUACUAAAAGUAGAAUGCGUCUUCAACAUAAAAUAGUAUAGUAGAAAACAAUUUCUAAAAUAAACACGUUCAUCUACUUCUUUUAGAACGUCCAUUUUACUAUUUACUAAAUUUCUAAAAAAGAGGAAUGUGCAUUCUACUAAUAACUGGAUUUUCUUUAAAACUAAAAAAAUAAUUAAGAAAAAAAAAAAAAAGCCUCACACACCUUUGAACCUUCCAUCAUCAGCUGCCAAUGCGAAUCCUGCAUCCUUCCAGUAGCAUUUCUGUUCCCUCGGUACUCUUCCAUAACAGCACCUCUUUCUUUUUCCAAAUCUUCCUUCGAGACUCGAAUCUAAAAACAAACCGUUUACAGUUUCUUACGAACUUAAAAAAAAAAAAGUCGAAACAGAGCCACAGAGACAAUUUUACCUCGGAGCUGAACUCUGCUAAAAUGGAGAUAGCCUGAGAUAGCAAUUCAGGCUUAUCGACAGGGACGAACAAUUCGUAUAUAGUCUCAUCCGCUGUAGUCAUUGCGUUUUGACAGGGCCCAAACUCAGCUCCGAUGCUCUCUAAGAACUUGACUAUAUCAUGAUUCGUGUAUCUCGUGGUAGCACUAAACGCAAGAUGCUCUACAAUAUGAGCAACUCCACGCUGAUCCUCGUCUUCCAAAACUGAACUGCCAAUGAAUCAAAAGGCACACGUUGCGCAUUUCAACACAAGUUCUUCCAAAUUCAUGAAUUCACCAGAUCAAAUCAAAGUUGGAUCAAUACAUUAGAGAACAGAUUAACCAUCACCAAUUCGACUGAGAACGAUCAUCACUCUAAAACUCAAAUUCACAAAAAUCGACAACCAAGGUUAUUAUGCCUAUUACCCGACUUUGACGGCGAGAGCAAGAGCGGCUCUCAUUCUAGGUUUGGAGUUUCGUCGGACGUAGUAGACGAGGCCAUUGUCGAGUCUUCCAUAGUCGGCACCGAAAGGCUCAGGCUCGUUUCCGAGCUCCUGCUCCAUAUCCACACUCAUCAGUUUCAGCGAUCUGAAUCCUUGUUUCCUCAGCACCUUCGAGCUCUCUCCCGAUAUCAAAUCCAUCUCUCUCGAUCCCUCACUCUUGUCAAAAAAAAAAAUCAAAAUCGAUUCUCAACAGAAGACGAUUACAAAUUCUUUCUCCCUCUGGUGACGCACUAGAGUCCCCACCUUCUAGAUUUGUUCUUCUUAUGUUUUUUUCUGCCUUGAUAAGUAAUUUUCCCGGUCCGUGGUUCGACCGGUAUCGGUUUGUUUAAAAAUUCACUCAAAUUUUUUAUUCAACUAACUGAACCGAAAUUGACGGUUAUCGACUGUAAAUUCUGCUAUAAAUGUCAUAACCGGAAGAAACCGCUAAACCGGAACUACAUUAGUUUACUCAAACCUCCGUAACAGAGAGGUACAAAGCGUAUACAAACAGAUGGUCUUUUCUAAAGUGACAUCGCUCAAUAAAAAAAGUUUUUAUUCGAAUCAGAUCCUUAACUUUGAGACUUUCUCAGCAACCAACUUAAUCUCACGAAUCCUUUCUUCAACCAAUUGCUUCAGCUGCUCCUCUUGAUCCGGUUUGUUUUCAUCAACUUGAAUAGCUUCUUCUCCAUUGAGAGACUUGAAAACCACAAACGAUGCUUCAGCUGCGAACAAGGUUGGAACAUCCACGACCUGUUUUUUUGGAGCUUCUAUAUCUUUCCCAAGAAUGUCAGCUCUCACAUGGUUCGUGAUGACAGAUGUGUAAUCCUCUAUGUAUUUGUCAAUAGGAUCAAGCGCGAGAUAUAUCAAGAUCUCCCAGCACUUGAGGAACUGUUUCUUGUUGAUCUUCAGAGUUUCACGGACUUUCUCAAUGGCAUUCAGAGGCGGAGUGAAUCGAGGUGUCUGAGCUUUCUUUGAUAGCUUACCCUUUGUGAGAGUCUGAACAGCUGAAUCAAUGGCUGGUUUGAUAGGGUCGAAUGCGCGCAAGCGGUUUAUGUCUAUGCAAGUGCGAAUGUGUU